UGUGUGUGAGCGGGGGGGGGCCGGGUGCCGUCGCGCCCCGCGUCACUCAGCCCUCCGUUUGCCCGC
ensembl:miRNA gga-mir-12235 gga-mir-12235